ACGCUGGUAGUGCAAUGGUUAGCACGAGCCCAGGAAAGUUAAAAUGCGGGUUCGAAUUCCGUCCAACGUC